rnacentral:tRNA from 2 species
GUCUCCGUAGCUCAGCGGAUAGAGCACCGGAUUACGGAUCCGGGUGUCGGGAGUUCGAAUCUCUCCGGGGACG